rnacentral:misc_RNA from 1 species
GGAGGAUUUGAGCUACUAGAGCAGCAGGACAAUUUCUCUUCCCUCACAGAACCUGCGCUUGAAAAAAUGAAGGUCUUUCUUGUGCUCUUAAGAGUUUUUUUUGUAACUCUCAAUUUUGCUAAUCUGCUUUCUCUUUCCCUCUCUUCACAGUUCAAUAUUGCAAAUCCUACCACUGGGUGUCAGAAGAAGCUCGAGAUAGAUGAUGACCAGAAACUGUAUGGAUCUUUUUCUUUGAUAUAUUAUUGUUGUUAUUUGCACUUGUAGAUGGUGGAAGUAAAAUAGUUAUGCGAUCAAGAACGUUUAUAAGUUAUGUAUCUGGAAUGGAAUGGGUUUAAAUAUGUUAUUUGGAUUCAGGAAAAGAGCUAGCUUUGUUUAAUUCAGCCUAAAUGCUUACAUUGUUUAGUUUAAUUGUAUGAGCCGAUUGAAUGUAGUAGAAUUGUAUAAUGGGGUUGUUGGUUCUUGUAUUUUCCAAAUUGUAGUCUUAACAUGGUUACUGGAAUGGUAAAACUUCAAUAUGUAUUAUGUGCCUCUGCUCUUGUUAAUUAUAUAAAAGUUAUCAGUUGGACUUCCAUUUUUAUUGCUUUGUACACUUAGAAGAAACAAAGGGAAAGAACAUAAUCAACAAGCUUGUCAAUUAUUAGGAAAUUAGUGUAUGCAUUGUGUCCAAUGUGAUUUGUAACCUAAAGGAACAUGACAGAUGAUUUCUACCCUUGUGCUUCUGAGGUUAUCAGGUUAAUUUGUGCUAGCUUAGUAAUUAAUGAGACGUUCAAGAGAAUAUUGUUUUGGUGGAUUUCAAACAUUUCAAUUCUCUGUCUAUGCUAAAAUUCAUUCUUGAAGUGCAUCUAUGGUAUAUUUUGUAUUCUGACUUGGCUAAUCUUACCUAAAAGCAAAAAAAUAAGAAAAUGGCGCCAACUUCUAUAACAAACAAUAAGAAAAUGGCUGUAACUUCUAUAACGUAUUAUUUUGAGUAACUUCAUUAUGUACUAAAAGCAAUGGUAGUCAUAAAUCUUAGCAGCCUAGUUCAGUGUAACUCAUGUUUAAGGUUUUUUAUGACAG